rnacentral:rRNA from 1 species
CCAGCAGCUGCGGUAAUUCCAGCUCCAAUAGCGUAUAUUUAAGUUGUUGCAGUUAAAAAGCUCGUAGUUGGAUUUCGGGUGGGUUCUAGCGGUCCGCCUAUGGUGAGUACUGCUAUGGCCUUCCUUUCUGUCGGGGACGGGCUUCUGGGCUUCACUGUCCGGGACUCGGAGUCGACGUGGUUACUUUGAGUAAAUUAGAGUGUUCAAAGCAGGCUUACGCCAGAAUACUUUAGCAUGGAAUAACACGAUAGGACUCUGGCCUAUCUUGUUGGUCUGUAGGACCGGAGUAAUGAUUAAGAGGGACAGUCGGGGGCAUUCGUAUUUCAUUGUCAGAGGUGAAAUUCUUGGAUUUAUGAAAGACGAACUACUGCGAAAGCAUUUGCCAAGGAUGUUUUCAUUAAUCAAGAACGAAAGU